AUGUGAAGCCAGACUGGUACUGAGCAGUACAACCUAAGACUGAAGAUGUUUGAGUUGCUGUGUCUCAGCACCAUAAGCUGGUACUGCUUAAAGAGAUGCCAUGGUUUUUCUCUGGGAACAAGGUGUGUGCACACCAAAAAGCACCACGGAGGAACUGGAGCCUUGGCAGGACCAGGAGGGUGCCCAGAGCAGCUCUGCAAGGAAAGUGAGUGCCUUCACUCCUCUGUCAUCACCAGUCCCUGA
rnacentral:lncRNA from 1 species